GCGAAAGUAGCUCAGCUGGUAGAGCAUCACCUUGCCAAGGUGAGGGUCGCGGGUUCGAAUCCCGUCUUUCGCU
rnacentral:tRNA from 2 species